ACGUCCGUAGCUCAGUUGGUUAGAGCACCACCUUGACAUGGUGGGGGUCGGUGGUUCGAGUCCACUCGGACGCACCA
rnacentral:tRNA from 2 species